UGACCACUAAAUGCUAACCAGAGGUGUCAAAAGUACACACAUUCCUUACUAAAGUUUAGAUAGUUCGGAGGUAUGACCGUUGUUGUAACGCUAACAAAGUGCCAACAUAAUCAGUGUAAGCAAACUAGAUGAUUCCUAAAAUUAUAUAAUUAUUAACGGCAAAUUUAUACAUGAAAGACUCCGUCCCAACCUUUACAAUCCACUUGCAAGAUUUCCACAGUCGAUGAUCCACGCAGGAACGUAUUUCUGCCUACUGUGGAGGUCACGUGUUUCCGGCUACUGUGGAGGUCACGUGUUUCCGGUUACUGUGGAGCUCCACAAUGGCUGCAGCCAGACCCUUCUCCACAGCCCCGGUGUUCCAGCUUAACUGUUUGGUUUUUUUUGGGGGGGGGGGUUACGUUAACCGGUUUGUUUACAUAUUCCACUCUCCGUGUUCCACAUGUUGCAUUUGCAGAUUCUCAUUUUCACCGAACGAUCGUCUCUUUCCGCCUGGUCUUGUGUGUCUGUGCUUCUGUAACAUAAAGAACGAGCUGACAUGUUUCUCAGGACACCAGCGAUCAGCUCAACAGGCCCUCAGUUUACCUGCAUGCGUCCUCUUCCUCACCUGUCAGCUGUUUAAUACCUGCUGCUAAUUCAAGAAACACGCCCACGUUACCUGGUGAUAGUCACAGUUUAACUUUGCUCGAUAUAACGCAAUGUCGGCGCAUUUUUCUGCACAAGAUAAGUAUUUUUUUUUCCCCCGAGCGCAGAGCUGCUGGAGCUGGUUUCCCAACAGAGCACUUUAUAGGCGAACCCACUUUAUCAGCGGCUGAUGUCCAAUCACCGCCACACAGCUUUGAAACCUCACCUGAGUUUUAGCUCUCAGUGGUUAAACGCUGGACUUAAUUCACUCAGGUUUUGUCUGUCGGGUCACGUUUACUUCGCUGUUUUAUUUACAACUGAGCAAAUCGGUUUGGCUGAGGUUAAAGUUACGUUUCAUAACUGCAGAGUUUUACUGAAGUUUAAUGGUUCACUGGCACAUGUGUUAGACUGAACUAUUCGCUUUUCUUUAUCUGGUGUGUUUUGGAUUUAACAGUGAAUUUUAAGAUUAAACUGACUUUUAAAAUGUUUUUAUACAAAGAGGAAAGAGAAGGCGCAUUUCCACCGAGAGGAGCAGAGUUUGCAACAGCAUGUUCAUCAUGAAGACUGCAACCUGGACAGAAAUAUUACAUCAUCUGUUUUUUAGUAGUUAUUCAACUGUAUUCUAAGCACCAGCUAUCUGUUAGAAUUUUUAGAUUUUACUUAACUAAAAAUAAAUGAGGUUAACAUAUAAUUUGUGUGAUUUUUUUUUUUCCCCAGUCAUGUUAUGUUUAACUGUCAAAGGCUUGUUACAAACUAUGAAACACAUCGUGCAGACUUCUGGAUGUUAGAAGAAAACUAAUACUGCUCAUGAAUGAGACUAAAGGCAGGAAGGUGUCCUUUAAAACUAAACAUGUUAAUAGGACCUCCCUAUUUAUAUCGUAGUUUAUGAUAUAGCACGUGUAUUUCAGUAAUAGCCUACUGAUUUCAGUGCAGUGGUGAACAGUCACAAAGCUCACAUGGGCGUUAUCUGUGAUACUCCUUAACUAUAAUUUAUCCAAGUUAACUUCAGUUAACCACUCAGACAGUUCUUUUCUUUUCUUUAUACUGUAGACUUUCACGUCUCUGGAAUAGUUGGUAGUAAUAAGGAUGGUUUUCAGUAAAAUCAUAUAGAUAUGACCCAUGAAUUAUUCGUAGAUGACUGUUAGAUUAGUCAGCUGUGAAACUGUGUGUUAACUCAGAGAGCUGAAGAUAUCGUGGAUAUGCUGACCUCGCUCCGUGGUGUACAGGGUCGUUUACCCUCAUGAUUAAUAUUCACAAUUAAAAUAUUAGCCGAACAUCAUUAAGUCUGUAUGUGUUUCAUAGUGUCGAACAACCUUUGUACAGUUAAAGCCAGCAGUUACUACAUGACGGAAACACCAACGUUUUCUCUUUUAUGCGUUUAUACACAGGUCACGCUGAUUACUGAACAAAAACCCAAAGAUCAGCUGUUAAUCGGAUUUAUUUGCUCUCUCUCCUCCUUAAACAUGUUUUUAAUGUUAGUUAUAAUUCAGAUUUGGCGACUGAAACAGGUAUGACACAUACGAACAUCAGGAAAUAAAAACCCGGUAAAUAUAACCUCAGUAAAUGAGGUCAGUGUACAGUGGGGGUUAUGGCAGCUGUGUACCUGCGCUUUGUCAACGGUAAUAACAGCUCGAUUGCUUGCGAGGCGAGCGGGUCUAUCCCACGCUAGAUAGAUAGAUAGAUAGAUAUUCAUAUCAGGGUUUACGAGUGUGUUGGGAAUUUUGACCAUUCUUCCAGAAGCACAUUUGUGAGGUUAGUGCUAAUAUAAUUUUCUUAGGUGUUAAUAAAAUAUUGUGACUCUGAUAUCCACAGCAACUUUGUUAGUAUCGUCUGCUUGCUAACAUGACAUUGUUGUAAGUUGUAACUGUGAUUACAGGAUCAGAGAAGAGAAAUGCUACAUACAGAUGAUACUAUGAUGAUACACAUAGCUUUAGAAACUUUUUUUCCUGUAGAUAUUUACAGCUACAGUAACAAUAACCAUAACACCAAGGAGUCCGCAUGACAGAAUUAACACAAAAUUAAAAAAAGAUAGAUUCUUGUCUCCUCCAUCCUUGUGUCCUCUUUCUUUGGACUCUCCUUCUGUGAAACCUGCAGAGCAAAAAACAAAACAAAGGUUUGAGGACUCUGGUACCAGGCAGACUGAAAAUAGCUCUUGUUUUACACUUUCAAAUAUCUGUAACAUUCGGUAGAGGUGAUGUCAAAGCUGCUGGCAGUGAGCUGGAUGUCAGAAAAGUAAGUAGUGAAUGUGUCUGCAGCCGUUUGGUUAAUAACUGCAGGGUAGCAUCUCUGUGCUGAUGUUUCAUACAACUUUUAUCCGUUAACAGAAGCAGAAAAAGACCAUUCAUCAGUGUGUCACUUUUGUUUUCUUUUUCAAACUGUUGGAUGUCUAUCAUGUGCAGAACCUUUCAAAAAUAAAUGCAUAAAACAAGCAGAAAUAUUUAAUUUAAUUCAGAUUUAAAUCACAACCCUCAAGGUGCUUUACAUUGUAAGGUAAACAAGUGUGGUAUAAGAAUCCACCCACCACAACAGGAAGCUUCUUAUUGGAUAAAACUAUUUCCACAUCACAUAGAAGCAGAAGGAAAAUGAGCCCACUGUUGGAGCCUGCUGUGAGGAUUUCAUGAGGCACUGCUUUUACCAUACACAGAGGACCACUCUGAGCAUGGAACAGCAACCCUUAUAAACAGCUGUGCAGUAAGCUCAACCUCUACGAACUCACCUGUGUCUGUGACUGUGAGGUUGAUGGAGUGCUUGAACUCGCUGACGACUCUCUCGUCAUUUCUGGUGCUGCUGGUUGUAAUCUCACACUUGUAUAUUCCCGUAUCACUGACCCUGACGUUCCUCACAAUCACAGUAACAUCUCCAUCCAUCAUGGAUGAGUCUCUCAGCUGCACUCGGCGUUUAAAGGACUCGUGCUGGUAGUUCUCGUAUGAGCGCUGGUCUUGGAAGAAGAACACAUAACCCUGUGAGAUGAGCUCAGGUCUGCUCCACUCCAGCAGGGUGAUGUGUGCAUCUCUGGGACCCCAACACUGAAGAGUGGCAGCUUGUCCAGGCCUCACUCUGAGCUCUGUGUGAAUGAAAAAGAAAGAGGAGAAAAACAAACAUUAAUAGCGCGUUAUACUGCACGUCAUGGACACGCAUUAUGCAGAAGAACACGUUGGACUCCAUGUCUACCACCUAUACUUCAGCAGACACAGUCACAACCUGAGACCUCUGACAGCAGCACUACGGAUCACAGCAAGUACUGAACUCUGAACUGUUCUUGAGUUGUAACAAGUAGAAGGUCAGAGUUUACAGUGUCACAAUAAUGGCUCUCAGCUCGUUAGAUCACCAUGGUAACUCAUUUUCUGGUUUUCUAAAGACCUUUGGUUUAAACCCAGCUCCAAUAAAAGUAUUCAUUAUUAACAAAUAGUAUACAUGUUUCAUUAAUGUGUUUAUCGGUUUAAUUAUUGCAUACAUACAUCUAACCUACAUCAUGGUUAGAAAAUAAAUCAGUUUGCAUGUAUUAUUUGGGAAAAAAUUGGGGUUUUAUGAUUUUUUCCAUUUAUGAGUUCUUAGGAUUAUGUGAGCUAACUGGUAGUUAAAGGGUUAAAAUUCUGAAUUUGAAUGAAAUUUUGAUUUUCAUGAACAGCACUGAUGCUAAUUUAAAAAAUUAAGUCAAUGAAAGUGGAAUUUAUUUUAAAUAUAUAUUAGUUUUAUAGCAUUUUGUAAACGUAAACAAGGUGUGGCCAUUUUUGGCCACGAACAAGCUGAGAGGGAGUUUUUAUGUUUUUGCUCUCCCUGCACAAAAAUAACAUUGAAUAA
ensembl:lncRNA